UACGAAGGGGGCGAGCGUUGUUCGGAUUUACUGGGCGUAAAGGGCGCGCAGGCGGCUUUGUUUGUCAGGCGUGAAAGCCCCGGGCUUAACUUGGGAACUGCGUCUGAUACUGGGUGGCUUGAAUCCGGGAGAGGGAUGCGGAAUUCCAGGUGUAGCGGUGAAAUGCGUAGAUAUCAAGUGGAACACCAGUGGCGAAGGCGAGUCUCUGGACGAUUCCUGACACUGAGGCACGAAAGCCAGGGGAGCAAACGGG
rnacentral:rRNA from 1 species